UACAGAGGGUGCGAGCGUUGUUCGGAAUUAUUGGGCGUAAAGCGCUUGUAGGCGGCACGUCAAGUCGCGUGUGAAAUCCCCAGGCUUAACCUGGGAAGUGCGCGCGAAACUGACGAGCUUGAGUGCCGGAGAGGGUCGCGGAAUUCCCGGUGUAGAGGUGAAAUUCGUAGAUAUCGGGAGGAACACCAGUGGCGAAGGCGGCGACCUGGACGGACACUGACGCUGAUGCACGAAAGCUAGGGGAGCAAACAGG
rnacentral:rRNA from 1 species